GCGACAGGGGGUUUAGUGGCGAAGAAACAGAAGAGCAAAACAUCUGCAGCCUUUACUGGAGAGAGUAUUUACUCAGUUAUGAUUAAUUUGUCAAGGGGUUGCCACUUAGCCCGGAGGAAGAAAAGCACAUGUGACACUGGAUCCUUGCAGGGCUAAUGGUCAUUACCCGAGCAGACGACCCGCCCUCUCUCCGCCACCCUCAGACCUGCUGCUGGAGGUUCAGAAACCCACUUCCUGGUAUUUCGUCUCAAGGACUUCUCAAACACAGCCCUGGGUGUCCCUCCGGGGAAACAAAACAUGCUGGAGAGAGGAAGGGAAACAGUAGCUUAAUGUGAUAUGAGGACGAAAACAACAACAACAACAACAAUGCCUGGAAAGUUCACCUACUGGGCCGCAUUUGGCCAUGAUGUGUUUCCAGUCAUUUAGGAGACCUACAGGUGCCAGGAAGUACGCCUCAGGCACGCUGUAGCAUUCAUUCAGAAAUGUGAUAGGAAAAUGCCUGAUACGUGUGAAACUGAGUAAAUACAUGUAUAUGCAUUUGUGAAUGUUUGAGGUGUUUUAUGUAAAGUGUGUUUGGUUUGUGCUGUUCCCUUACUGUUAAGUCUGUUUGGGGGGAAAAUGAAAGACAGAGAUAAAAUGAGACUUUACUGCAACAUUUUUACUUUGAUUAUUCUUUGAUCUUAUUACAGAGGAAAAGCUGACUUUAUGCCUUGAUUUGUGAUGUCUGUAUAUGUCAUAUAUGUCUAGAGGUUAUAAGUCUCAGUCCCAGGUAGAAAUGUGAUUUGUUUUUUUUAACAGAGCACAGGAUUUCAAAAAUCUAGAGUGGGUGAGUGAAUCUCUGCUCUCAACCAGCACAGAGAAAGAGCACAAGUGGCACCUAGUGGACUGCAGCAGUGCUGCACCCUGCCUUGAAGAGAGGCUGUUUCAGGCAUGCCUUGCUUUCUCACUCACUGACUUGGUGACCUGAACAACAGGUCUAGGGUCUCUUGUUGCAAGUCACAUGUUAAGGUUGACCUUUAUUCUUCUUCAGGACAGUUGUAAAGUACUUUGA